rnacentral:lncRNA from 1 species
GGACAUGGCGGCGAGGCCGCAGAGGGGCUCGAGCACGGAGAUGACGCUGGCGAGGUGCCAGAGCGCGGAGAUGUAGACGUGGAUGGCGAGGAAGAGGAAGGCGACGGCGAGGAGGGCGAGGAGGAAGGAGAGGGGGGGCGGGGUGGAGGCGGUCAUGGGCGGGUCGAAGAGGAGGAUGAGGAGGACGACGGUGACGACGAAGCCGACGUGGUAGGCGAGCAUGAGGAGCGAGACCCAGAGGAAGGUGCGGAGGAGGCGGGGCAGGAUGGGCGGCAGCGCGGAGAGCGAGGAGG